rnacentral:rRNA from 1 species
CCUACGGGUGGCAGCAGUGAGGAAUAUUGGUCAAUGGGCGCGAGCCUGAACCAGCCAAGUAGCGUGAAGGAUGACUGCCCUACGGGUUGUAAACCUCUUUUGUAAAGGAAUAAAGUGCGGCACGUGUGCCUUUUUGUAUGUUCUUUAUGAAUAAGGCUCGGCUAACUCCGUUCCCGCAGCCGCGGUAAUACGGAGGAUCCGAGCGUUAUCCCGAUUUAUUGGGGUUAAAGGGAGCGUAGAUGGGUUGUUAAGUCAGUGGUGAAAGUGUGCGGCUCAAACGUAAAAUUGCAAUUGAUACUGGCAGUCUUGAGUACAGGUGAGGUAGGCGGAAUGCGUGGUGUAGCGGUGAAAUGCAUAGAUAUCACGAAGAACUCCGAUUGCGAAGGCAGCUUACUAAACUGCAACUGACAUUGAUGCUCGAAAGUGUGGGUAUCAAACAGGAUUAGAUACCCGAGUAGUC